UGGGGAAUAUUGGACAAUGGGGGGAACCCUGAUCCAGCGACGCCGCGUGAGUGAAGAAGUAUUUCGGUAUGUAAAGCUCUAUCAGCAGGGAAGAAAAUGACGGUACCUGACUAAGAAGCCCCGGCUAACUACGUGCCAGCAGCCGCGGUAAUACGUAGGGGGCAAGCGUUAUCCGGAUUUACUGGGUGUAAAGGGAGCGCAGACGGUUUUGCAAGUCUGAAGUGAAAGCCCGAGGCUUAACCUCGGAGUUGCUUUGGAAACUGUAUAACUAGAGUAUCGGAGAGGUAAGUGGAAUUCCUAGUGUAGCGGGGAAAGGCGUAGAUAUUAGGAGGAACACCGGUGGCGAAGGCGGCUUACUGGACGAAAACUGACGUUGAGGCUCGAAGGCGUGGGGAGCAAACAGG
rnacentral:rRNA from 1 species